AUACGAAGGGUGCAAGCGUUAAUCGGAAUUACUGGGCGUAAAGCGUACGUAGGCGGUUCGUUAAGUUAGAUGUGAAAGCCCCGGGCUUAACCUGGGAACUGCAUUUAAAACUGGCGAACUAGAGUUGAGUAGAGGGGAGUGGAAUUUCAGGUGUAGCGGUGAAAUGCGUAGAGAUCUGAAGGAACACCAGUGGCGAAGGCGACUCCCUGGACUCGAACUGACGCUGAGGUACGAAAGCGUGGGUAGCAAACAGGAUUAGAUACCCUAGUAGUCC
rnacentral:rRNA from 1 species